AUUCCACGAAUAUUCCACAUCGUAGUUUUUCACGUUUCCCCCCGCUUGUUGAUCUCUUGCCACGUGAUCGUAGACUUCCCCUCUCCGCCAUCAUGCUACCAGUUUAGAAUAACCCGAAGCUCCGACAUCCUUACCAUUCGUGAAUUUAAUCUCGGAUAGUUCGCGUCAUUAUUGUAUUGUCCUCGUAAGCCCCAUUGAAAGCGCCGUAAGUUUCAUCAUGGAAGUUGCCAAAGUGAACGAUUCGAGCAGCAGCCUCAUCGAGCAAUCAAUGAAUGUAACGGCAGCAACGAAAUCCGUCUCGACAGUGAAAUCCGUACAGAGCGUCCAGACGAAGUCAAUUGUAGAGUCAUCGACCUCGGUUAAAUCCGUCUCUUCCUCAUCCAACAAAUCACAUCAAUCGGUGGAGUACGAGGAAUCGGUCGAGUAUAGCGAUUAGUGUGAUUAAAGUAAUAUAAAUCCUUUCAAUAAAAAAGACAUCACGCGGGGAAAAGCUAGAAACGCGAUAAUAUUCGGUUCGAUUUGAUUCAUCGUGUUUGAAGAUUCAUCUUCGGACGCUACUUGAUUCGAUUAUGCUAUUCCUUCUGCAAGAAAAAUAUUCACGUCAUAUCAGAAAUGAUAAAUUACUCGAAAUCACAUAAGCAUCGAAAGAAAAUCAACGACGGAAUUCCGUAACCUCUUCUCCAAUUUCUACCACGAGGAUCCACGAUCGAUAAUCGAACGGAAAUGGGAGAAUCGAAUUGACGGGUCAAGGCGUUCACUUGUCAGGGUUGUGCACCGAAAUAACGAGUUCGUCGCAGUCUCGCUAUGCGACGAGACGACGAGAAGAAAUACCACGAGUCAGAGGAGACGAAUGGAGAGGAACAAAUUGAAAAUGUGCCCGCGAAGGAAUGCUCGGAAGUCUCUGGCCCUCAUCCAAUCGAUGUGGUUCGCCGCCAAAUAGCAACUCAACAUUUCCUUCUUUCUUUCGAGUGUUUUUUUUUCCUAAUCGACACAUCGCUGUCAAUCCUUCGAGUAAGAGCGCUUGACAUAUGUGACUACUCAUUUAUCUUUGUAUAAUUAAAUUUUUAAGACAUUA